AUCGCUUCUCGGCCUUUUGGCUAAGAUCAAGUGUAGUAUAGAAGGUAAAUAAAUCCCAGAAUAAAAUUUAAAAAAAGAAAGAAAAUAA
rnacentral:snRNA from 1 species